CAGCAGCCGCGGUAAUACGGAGGGGGCUAGCGUUGUUCGGAAUUACUGGGCGUAAAGCGCACGUAGGCGGCUUGGUAAGUUAGAGGUGAAAGCCUGGAGCUCAACUCCAGAAUUGCCUUUAAGACUGCCGAGCUAGCAGGUGAGAGAGGUAAGUGGAAUUCCGAGUGUAGAGGUGAAAUUCGUAGAUAUUCGGAAGAACACCAGUGGCGAAGGCGGCUUACUGGCUCAUACUGGACGCUGAGGUGCGAAAGCGUGGGGAGCAAACAGGAUUAGAGACCCCGGUAGUCCCUGUCUCUUAUAC
rnacentral:rRNA from 1 species